UACGUAGGGUGCGAGCGUUGUCCGGAAUUAUUGGGCGUAAAGAGCUUGUAGGCGGUCUGUCGCGUCUGCUGUGAAAAUCCGGGGCUCAACCCCGGACUUGCAGUGGGUACGGGCAGACUGGAGUGUGGUAGGGGAGACUGGAAUUCCUGGUGUAGCGGUGGAAUGCGCAGAUAUCAGGAGGAACACCGAUGGCGAAGGCAGGUCACUGGGCCGCAACUGACGCUGAGGAGCGAAAGCAUGGGGAGCGAACAGG
rnacentral:rRNA from 1 species